UGGUGCCAGCAGCCGCGGUAAUUCCAGCUCCAAUAGCGUAUAUUAAAGUUGUUGCAGUUAAAAAGCUCGUAGUUGAAUUUCGGGGUUAGUAGGUUGGUCAUGCCUCUGGUAUGUACUGGUCUCACUGAUUCCUCCUUCCUUAUGAACCGUAAUGCCAUUAAUUUGGUGUUGCGGGGAAUUUGGACUGUUACUUUGAAAAAAUUAGAGUGUUUAAAGCAAGCUAACGCUUGAAUACAUUAGCAUGGAAUAAUGAAAUAGGACGUUCGAUCUUAUUUUGUUGGUUUCUAGGAUUGACGUAAUGAUUAAUAGGGAUAGUUGGGGGCAUUAGUAUUCAAUUGUCAGAGGUGAAAUUCUUGGAUUUAUCGAAGACUAACUACUGCGAAAGCAUUUGCCAAGGAUGUUUUCAUUAAUCAAGAACGAAAGUUAGGGGAUCGAAGACGAUCAGAUACCGUCGUAGUCUUAACCAUAAACUAUGCCGACUAGGAU
rnacentral:rRNA from 1 species